AAUAAUAAAAAAUAUAUAUAUAUUUUUAUUAUUUUAUUGUUUCCCUUGUACAUGACUACCGAAAGAACUAAGAAUAUGAGUCCAUCUAUGUUAAAUUAUUUUCAUAUCCACUUUCCCGCGCGCCCAAGCACUUUCUUAUCCCCCGCUAUAGGGUUGUUGAUUUUUCACCACUGGCUCAGGGCUCUAAACAAGAAAUUUAACAACCACAGGAAAUCAUUUUGACUUUGAGAUAGAAGGGAAACAAUAAAAUAAUACAAAUAUAAAACAAUUAAAUUCUCACGACGUUUCGACUGCAACACAAGCAAUCAUCAUCAGGUGUGAGAAUUUUAUUGUUUAAUAUUUUUAUGAUUUUAUUGUUUCCCUUCUACGUGACUACCGAAAGAACCAAGAAUAUGAAAUUGCAGUUAUACAUUUACGAGGCAUUUAGCAAGUUAGCCUGACACUCAGCACAACUGUGCUAUGCCAUUGGCACGAAUUAGGCAACUCUUGUUACCUGCAUGACAUUGUGUUUUACACGCUUUUUUCCCCCCUUCGUAUUUUAAAACAAAAGCUGAGGAUUCGUCUUAUCCAGGGGUCGGCGCAACCUGCGUCUCCAAAGUCGGUACGCUGCUCUUUACGUACUGCUUCGUGACGUGAUGUACGUGCGUACAUACGUAUUCACGUGCACUGUGGCUCUUGAAAUAUCGAGUUUUGUAUUGAAUUCGAAAAAAAUCACUCUUGUCCUUUUGGUUUCCGACCUCUGGUCAAAUCCGUUAGAAUUGUCUCCCAGAAGGUGCGGUUUAAUGCAGUUGAGAAAUGCCUGCCCGGAAGACGGUUCUCCACAGCGAUUCGUGACCAUCAAUAAGGCACGAAGACAAUCGCCAGCCGUCCAUAAUCAUCCUCCACAAGACACCUCUGUUCAUGUUAAAGCAACACGUUCACAAUCAUCUGCUCAACGAAGUCGAAUUCUCCCGAUACUUUUUUCCUGCAAAUUGACCUCAAAGUUUAGGGUGCAUCUUCAUUCCUAGGGUGUAACUUAAUAAUUGGUGUGGUGGUCACUCUGUACACACGCUACACAGUACCUACCAGAACGGGGUCAUUGGUAUCCCUGACCAAGACCCCGCCUGAGGGGUGGAGGCUGUGAAGUGUGUGUGUGUGGGAUCCCCCAGAACACUGGUCCUAGACAGAAAGUGGGAUCGAACAAACAGAUUGUUUGGGCUUCCUGUGGCCAGCACCUCCCCUCGGCGGGGGAAUCGUAUAAAAGGCGGGCUCCUGAGAGCAGAGGGAGUUGGUCUCAAGCUGAAGCCGGGGAGCCGCCUGAAGAAGAGGAGACCCUGGACCCCAAGCCCCGACGUCCUUCUGAGGGCCGGGGCUCAGUGCGGUGCCAGUGGUCUGUAGGCUAGGACCCUGAGGUUCCCUCAGCCGGGUCUGGACUGGCCAGCGGUCAGAGACCCACCGGUGCCAGCGGUGGGUCAGCCUCCCCUAGGUCCAGCUAGCCGGAGGGCUAUAGCAGUAGUCGGGCCAACGGCUAGGGUACGAUAGCCCAGAGGCUGUACCUCCUCAGGUUGUGGGUAGAAGGGGCCAUUACCCCUUCGUGUUAGGGACCUAGUGAGUUGUAUUAAGAUAUAAAUAAAAGUAUUGCUUACUACUACGACUCCAUCUCCAUCUACUACUACGACUCAAUCUCCAUCUACUACUACUACAUUGGUAAUAGAAAACUGAUCGCAUUAAUAAAAAAAGUCAAUAUAUAGUCAAUAAUAAUGUAUGUUACGCUGUCAUCUGCUUUAUAUGCCAUAUAUUAUACACACAUUUUAAGUAUUCAUUCCCGAGCGAGACCAGAUUAAAAGAAAUAAAAUAAAAAUUAACUUGUAUAAUGGGUUUUCUGUGGUGAGCUGGUCAAUGUUAUCCAUCUCAGGAAACCUGAAAGUGAAGUUGAAUCAUUUGGUGGGAGCCCACGAUUUAGGGCCCCCCAUUUAACCAGUCACAAAGCACCAGGCUCAAACCAACCGCAAGACAAACACGAACAAAAAGUGAAGAAAGAAUUUAUUACAAAAGGAGACAUGUUACAUUUUAAGGUGUCUCUGUAAAUCAGAACAAAUGGUCUCUACCAAUUGAAUAUGAAUCUUUACACACUGCGAGAAGCGCAGUGUACAAAAUAUAUUGAAGAAUGUAACCAGUACUAGCACCGCUUGUUCAAGAGUGUAGCAAACAUUUUCAUUUUAUGAACCAAAUUACAAUUUCACUGCCAGGUCUGAAUGUUAUACGUCUAUGACUUAUUCUAGAAGCUCACUUCUCAAAAGAAAGUUGAACGGGAAUCGUGUAAUGCAGGCAUACAUGUGCGAAUUACAUCGCAGGUUUUUCCAAUUUCGUCUCACAACUUCGAAAUAAUGAUGAGGCUGCCGCGGUCACAACGUUAGGUCCUCACCUUGCUGUAUAUGCAGGGGGUCGGCAUCCGGCGACUCCGUAACCGCACACGGCCCUUUAAGGACCGCCGCUUUGCGACGUUAUUCACGUGCAUUGCGGCUC